rnacentral:siRNA from 1 species
CACCUAUAUUGACAUACCUCCAAG